rnacentral:rRNA from 1 species
UAAAGAUCCGUCGGAUGAGGAUAGGCUCGCGUGACAUUAGCUAGACGGCGGGGUAACGGCCCACCGUGGCGACGAUGUCUAGGGGUUCUGAGAGGAAGGUCCCCCACACUGGAACUGAGACACGGUCCAGACUCCUACGGGAGGCAGCAGUGAGGAAUAUUGGUCAAUGGCCGGAAGGCUGAACCAGCCAUGCCGCGUGAAGGUCAGUGCCCUAUGGGCGUUAAACUUCUUUUGUGCGGGAGCAAUAAGGGCCACGCGUGGCCUGACGAGAGUACCGUACGAAUAAGCAUCGGCUAACUCCGUGCCAGCAGCCGCGGUAAUACGGGGGAUGCAAGCGUUAUCCGGAUUUAUUGGGUUUAAAGGGUGCGUAGGCUGUGAGGUAAGUCAGCGGUGAAAUGCCCCCGCUCAACGGGGGAAGUGCCAUUGAUACUGCCUUGCUGGAAUGCGGAUGCCGUGGGAGGAAUGUGUGGUGUAGCGGUGAAAUGCAUAGAUAUCACACAGAACACCGAUUGCGAAGGCAUCUCACGAAUCCGCGAUUGACGCUGAUGCACGAAAGCGUGGGUAUCAAACAGGAUUAGAUACCCUGGUAGUCCACGCUGUAAACGAUGAUGACUAACCGUCGGCGAUACACAGUCG